rnacentral:rRNA from 1 species
AGACGGAGGGGGCUAGCGUUGUUCGGAAUUACUGGGCGUAAAGCGCGCGUAGGUGGCUCAUCUAGUCAGGCGUGAAAGCCCUGGGCUCAACCCAGGAAUUGCGCUUGAAACUGGUGGGCUAGAGUCCGGGAGAGGGUAGCGGAAUUCCCAGUGUAGAGGUGAAAUUCGUAGAUAUUGGGAAGAACACCAGUGGCGAAGGCGGCUACCUGGACCGGUACUGACGCUGAGGCGAAAGCGUGGGGAGCAAACAGGAUUAGAAACCCCAGUAGUCC